GACGAACGCUGGCGGCGUGCCUAAUACAUGCAAGUAGAACGCUGAAGAGAGGAGCUUGCUCUUCUUGGAUGAGUUGCGAACGGGUGAGUAACGCGUAGGUAACCUGCCUUGUAGCGGGGGAUAACUAUUGGAAACGAUAGCUAAUACCGCAUAACAAUGGAUGACACAUGUCAUUUAUUUGAAAGGGGCAAUUGCUCCACUACAAGAUGGACCUGCGUUGUAUUAGCUAGUAGGUGAGGUAACGGCUCACCUAGGCGACGAUACAUAGCCGACCUGAGAGGGUGAUCGGCCACACUGGGACUGAGACACGGCCCAGACUCCUACGGGAGGCAGCAGUAGGGAAUCUUCGGCAAUGGGGCAACCCUGACCGAGCAACGCCGCGUGAGUGAAGAAGGUUUUCGGAUCGUAAAGCUCUGUUGUAAGUCAAGAACGAGUGUGAGAGUGGAAAGUUUACACUGUGACGGUAGCUUACCAGAAAGGGACGGCUAACUACGUG
rnacentral:rRNA from 1 species